AGCCGGCCCGGCCAGCGGCGCAGCACCUCGGCCUUGAGGGCCGCGCUGAAGGGCGCGCUGGUGCAGAACUUGUGCUGCAGCCGGCUC
rnacentral:tRNA from 1 species